GGCCACGUAGCCAAGUGGCAAGGCAAGGGUCUGCAAAACCCUCAUCGCCGGUUCGAUUCCGGCCGUGGCCU
rnacentral:tRNA from 1 species